rnacentral:rRNA from 1 species
CAACAGUUGGAAACGACUGCUAAUACCGCAUACGAUCCAACCUCGGCAUCGAGGAUGGAUGAAAGGUGGCCUCUAUUUAUAAGCUAUCACUGAAGGAGGGGAUUGCGUCUGAUUAGCUAGUUGGAGGGGUAACGGCCCACCAAGGCAAUGAUCAGUAGCCGGUCUGAGAGGAUGAACGGCCACAUUGGGACUGAGACACGGCCCAGACUCCUACGGGAGGCCAGCAUG